rnacentral:rRNA from 1 species
AUACGUAGGGGGCGAGCGUUAUCCGGAAUUAUUGGGCGUAAAGAGUACGUAGGUGGUUGCGUAAGCGCAAGGUGAAAGACCGGGGCUUAAAUUCGGUGAGCCUUGUGAACUGCGUGACUUGAGUGCAGGAGGGGAAAGUGGAAUUCCUAGUGUAGCGGUGAAAUGUGUAGAUAUUAGGAGGAACACCAGUGGCGAAGGCGACUUUCUGGACUGUAACUGACACUGAGGUACGAAAGCGUGGGGAGCAAACAGGAUUAGAUACCCUGGUAGUCCACGCCGUAAACGAUGAGCACUAGGUGUUGGCGUAGAAAUACGUCGGUGCCGAAGUUAACGCAUUAAGUGCUCCGCCUGGGGAGUACGCACGCAAGUGUGAAACUCAAAUGAAUUGACGGGG